AGGGUACUAGUAAAACAAGAAAAUUACACUGCCUUGUCGAGACAGAAGUGUGGGUUAAAACCCCGCGUAUCCUA
rnacentral:tRNA from 3 species